AGAGAUAAGAGGGUGCUAGCUUGCUAGAACUUAGAGACAGGUGCUGCACGGCUGUCGUCAGCUCGUGUCGUGAGAUGUUGGGUUAAGUCCCGCAACGAGCGCAACCCACGUAUUUAGUUGCUAACGGUUCGGCCGAGCACUCUAAAUAGACUGCCUUCGUAAGGAGGAGGAAGGUGUGGACGACGUCAAGUCAUCAUGGCCCUUAUGCCCAGGGCGACACACGUGCUACAAUGGCAUAUACAAUGAGACGCAAUACCGCGAGGUGGAGCAAAUCUAUAAAAUAUGUCCCAGUUCGGAUUGUUCUCUGCAACUCGAGAGCAUGAAGCCGGAAUCGCUAGUAAUCGUAGAUCAGCCAUGCUACGGUGAAUACGUUCCCGGGUCUUGUACUCACCGCCCGUCACACCAUGGGAGUUGAUUUCACUCGAAGCCGGAAUACUAAACUAGUUACCGUCCACAGUGGAAUCAGCGACUGGGGUGAAGUCGUAACAAGGUAACCGUAGGAGAACCUGCGGUUGGA
rnacentral:rRNA from 1 species